rnacentral:sRNA from 1 species
GUUCUCCUAUCUCAUUGUUCAGAU